GACGAACGCUGGCGGCGUGCUUAACACAUGCAAGUCGAACGGAAAGGCCCUGCUUUUGUGGGGUGCUCGAGUGGCGAACGGGUGAGUAACACGUGAGUAACCUGCCCUUGACUUUGGGAUAACUUCAGGAAACUGGGGCUAAUACCGGAUAGGAGCUCCUGCUGCAUGGUGGGGGUUGGAAAGUUUCGGCGGUUGGGGAUGGACUCGCGGCUUAUCAGCUUGUUGGUGGGGUAGUGGCUUACCAAGGCUUUGACGGGUAGCCGGCCUGAGAGGGUGACCGGCCACAUUGGGACUGAGAUACGGCCCAGAGUCCUACGGGAGGCAGCAGUGGGGAAUAUUGCACGAUGGGCGGAAGCAUGAUGCAGCAACGCCGCGUGCGGGAUGACGGCCUUCGGGUUGUAAACCGCUUUCGCCUGUGACGAAGCGUGAGUGACGGUAAUGGGUAAAGAAGCACCGGCUAACUACGUG
rnacentral:rRNA from 1 species